AACGAAUGCUGGCGGCAGGCCUAACACAUGCAAGUCGAACGCCGUAGCAAUACGGAGUGGCAGACGGGUGAGUAACACGUGGGAACGUACCCUUCGGUUCGGAAUAACUCAGGGAAACUUGAGCUAAUACCGGAUACGUCCGAGAGGAGAAAGUAUUUAUCGCCGAGGGAUCCGGCCCGCGUCUGAUUAGCUUGUUGGUGAGGUAACGGCUCACCAAGGCGACGAUCCGUAGCCGGCCUGAGGAGGGCGGUCGGCCACACUGGCACUGACAC
rnacentral:rRNA from 1 species